GGUAGUAAGAAUCACACAGCUUUUAGGCUGUCAGCAAUUUCAGUUUGAUCAUUGGUAUGCUUAAUGUGAGUUCCUGUCCAGUAACCACAGAGUGGACAUAUUUCUGGAAGAGCUGAAUCAUAUCAAUCCUCACAUUCUUGCUACAAAUGAAACCAGAAGAAAGAAAAGAAGAAAACCUGCUUUCAUGAUUGGCACAUCAGCCCAAGAACCCUGAGAGUGACAGCACCUUCCAGACCACCAGUCCUGCUUCCAUCCCAGCCCUCACAGCCAUUUUCUAGUGAAGGAACUCCUAUGGAGAACGGACCAGCCAUCCUCACAAAUGGCCAAACAACCCAAAAGGCAGAUAAGCCAGCUUAGCUGAAGAAACUGGACACGCUGGGGAAGAAAAAGGAGUUGGCAUGUGCCAGCCAUCAUCCUGGGAAGCAACCCUGGGGAGAUGCGGCCUGGCAACUGUGCCUGCAGAUCCUGCAGUCACAGCUACUAAAGAUCCGACCAAGUUAUUGCUACCAAAGUCCUUGGCACGACUUCCAUUUUUUUAUCAGUGGAAAUGCUAUUGAAGAAGAGGCAUUACCACUGACUCUGCUACUGUACCCUAAUGACCGUGGCUUGCCGCUGAAACCUUCCAUAUGUGUUGCUGCUCCCCACUAGAAUGUGAGCUCCUUGAGA